GACGUAGGGCGCGAGCGUUGUCCGGAUUUAUUGGGCGUAAAGAGCUCGUAGGCGGUCUGUCGCGUCGGUCGUGAAAACUUGGGGCUUAACCCUGAGCUUGCGGUCGAUACGGGCAUGACUGGAGUUCGGCAGGGGAGACUGGAAUUCCUGGUGUAGCGGUGAAAUGCGCAGAUAUCAGGAGGAACACCGGUGGCGAAGGCGGGUCUCUGGGCCGAUACUGACGCUAAGGCGCGAAAGCGUGGGGAGCGAACAGG
rnacentral:rRNA from 1 species